rnacentral:rRNA from 1 species
AUUGAACGCUGGCGGCAUGCCUAACACAUGCAAGUCGAACGGCAGCACGGCAGUAGCAAUACUGUGGGUGGCGAGUGGCGGACGGGUGAGGAAUACGUCGGAAUCUGCCCAGUCGUGGGGGAUAACUAGCCGAAAGGUUAGCUAAUACCGCAUACGACCGAGAGGUGAAAGCGGGGGACCGCAAGGCCUCGCGCGAUUGGAUGAGCCGACGUCGGAUUAGCUAGUUGGUGGGGUAAAGGCCCACCAAGGCGACGAUCCGUAGCUGGUCUGAGAGGAUGAUCAGCCACACUGGAACUGAGACACGGUCCAGACUCCUACGGGAGGCAGCGGUGGGGAAUAUUGGACAAUGGGCGCAAGCCUGAUCCAGCAAUGCCGCGUGUGUGAAGAAGGCC